AGUGAACGCUGGCGGUAGGCCUAACACAUGCAAGUCGAACGGCAGCACAGUAAGAGCUUGCUCUUACGGGUGGCGAGUGGCAGACGGGUGAGGAAUACAUCGGAAUCUACUUUUUCGUGGGGGAUAACGUAGGGAAACUUACGCUAAUACCGCAUACGACCUACGGGUGAAAGCAGGGGAUCUUCGGACCUUGCGCGAUUGAAUGAGCCGAUGUCGGAUUAGCUAGUUGGCGGGGUAAAGGCCCACCAAGGCGACGAUCCGUAGCUGGUCUGAGAGGAUGAUCAGUCACACUGGAACUGAGACACGGUCCAGACUCCUACGGGAGGCAGCAGUGGGGAAUAUUGGACAAUGGGCGCAAGCCUGAUCCAGCCAUACCGCGUGGGUGAAGAAGGCCUUCGGGUUGUAAAGCCCUUUUGUUGGGAAAGAAAAGCAGCAGGUUAAUACCCCGCUGUUCUGACGGUACCCAAAGAAUAAGCACCGGCUAACUUCGUG
rnacentral:rRNA from 1 species